rnacentral:rRNA from 1 species
GGACUACACGGGUAUCUAAUCCUGUUUGCUCCCCACGCUUUCGCGUCUCAGCGUCAGCAACGAUCCAGAGGGCCGCCUUCGCCGCCGGUGUUCCUCCUGAUAUCUACGCAUUUCACCGCUACACCAGGAAUUCCGCCCUCCUCUAUCGCGCUCCAGCUGGCUAGUUUCCGACGCACUUCCGGAGCUAAGCCCCGGGCUUUCACAUCGGACUUGACCAACCGCCUACACGCCCUUUACGCCCAGUCAAUCCGAACAACGCUUGCACCCUCCGUCUUACCGCGGCUGCUGGCAC